GGGCGGUUAGCUCAGCGGAAGAGCACUCGCUUCACACGCGAGGGGUCGUUGGUUCAAAUCCAAUACCGCCCACCA
rnacentral:tRNA from 1 species